ACUAUACUUAUUAGGGUAAAAGGACGGAUGUUUAGAUUGCUGUAAAGAUUAUACUGAUUCAAUAGUCAUUGCAGAUUCACUAAUCUGAGUCGUUAGCUGGGCUUUCAGUACCAGUCACUGUUUCCGUCUUGUGCAUGUCAUAAGUUCAAUUAGAGAGCCAUUGGUUACUGCCAAGGUGUGUGUGGCGCCUUUACCAGCACUGUUACUGUGUCACGCUGGCUGUUGAUAUCGCUUCUAGACAGAGACAUCAGAGCUGAGGAGGGCUGUUACUCGCCUCUCGCUUGCCUUUGGGAACUGGCACUGUCUUGGUACUGUGGAAGCUAGUCCUCAGGGAGGAGGAGGCUUUCAGUUCAGGUGGAGGUCUGGAGCCUCUGGACCCUGUGUCUGAGUGCAUAGGACCUUCAGCAGAGAGACCUCCGUCCCUUCCACUCUGGAGGCAACAGCAAAUGGCUGUAUGUUUUUGGAGACUUUUGGACUGCACUAGACAACAGUUGAAAAGCAAGUUUCUCCUGUGUGGUAGUGGGUUUCAUUAGAUGGUCUUUGGUUCCUAGAAGAACCAUUGUCAGAUCAGAUGAGAAAAGCUCAUUAAAACUGUAUAUGUGUAUUUACACACAUCAUUACAUAUAUUAUACAUUUUUGGGUAAGUAGUUAGUCAUAUGAUUACCUAUAGAAUUUUUCAGAUACCCUUAAUUGUUAUGUUAUCCUCUUUCUGUAUUUCCCUCCCUCCCCUGCCCUUAAAGAGCCUCUCUCUCUGUUUCCCAUAUCAGGUCAUUUAUAUCCUGCUAAUCCUCCUUUCUCUCUUUCCACCUUCUGUAUUACCUCUGCCUACCUUCCUAAAGAAUAAAUACUUCUUUCCUCAUUUCCCUGUUUUACUUUCCUGGUUUCUGCAAAUUACUGUAGGCCAUCUGCUGACAUCUGAGGGUUUGGAGCCUCUGAUGAGAGAGAGAGCAUGUGGCAUUUGUAUUCUGGGUCUGAGUUCCCUUACUCAGUGCGAUAGCUUUUCUAGUUCUGCAUAUUUACCUGCAAAGUUUAUGAUUUGAUAUUUUUUUUGUAGUUGAGUAGUAUUACACUAUAUAUAUUACAUUUUCACUAUCUAAUCAUUGUUUGUAUGACUUUUGGUUGUUUCUGUUUCCUAGCUAUUGUGAAUAGAGCAGCAGUGGACAUGGCUCAGCAAAUAUAUGUGCAGUAUGAUGUUAAGUUCUUUUUUUUUUUAAGAAUUUAUUUAUUAUAUGUAAGUCCAUUGUAGCUGUCUUUAGACACCAGAAGAGGACGUCAUAUGUUACCACGGAUGUUACUACGGAUGGUUGUGAGCCACCAUGUGGUUUCUGGGAUUUGAACUCAGGACCUCCUAAAGAGCAGUUAGUGCUCUUACCCUCUGAGUCAUCUCACCAGCCACCGAUGUUAAGUUCUUUAUGCAUAAGCCAAGUGAGUGGUAACGCCGGGUCAUAUGGGAUAUUUAUUUAUUUAGCCCUUUGAGAAUUCUCCAAACCAAUUUCCUUCAUGGCUGUACCAGUUAGAAAUCCCAGCAACAGUUAGUGAAGGAUAAUGAACAAUUUUUGAUAUAGUUCUUAGCCAUUGUUUUUUUUUUCUUUUGAGACUUCUCUAUUCAUGUUUUUAACACCCCCCCCCCUUCCCCUGCCACAUACCUUUUACUCCUUGUUUUUUGGGUUCAUUGUAUAUUUUGGAUAUUAAUCCCUUGUCAGAUUUACAGCUGGCAAAAUUCUUUCUUAUUCUGCGGGCUUCCUCUUCAUACACUUGAUUGCUUGAAACUAAUUGUGAAGAAGUGAAGCCUUUUAGUGUUAUGAAGUCUCAGUUGUCAUUAGUUGCCCUUAUUUCUUGGGCAAAUGGAGUCCUAUUCAGGAAGUCCUUUCCUACACCUGUAUUAUAUAGGGCACUGCCUAUGUUUUCUUCUGGCACUUUCAGUGCUUCAAGUGUUAAGUCUUUGAUACAUUUGGAGUUAGUGUUUAUGCAGAAUAAUAGAUAAAGCUAUAAUUUCAGUCUUCUGCAUGUGGGCAUCGAGUUUUCAGUUUUCUCAGCACCAUAUUCUCUAGCUUAUGGUUUUAGUGUCUUUGUCAAAUAUUAAGUGGCUGAAGUUACAUUUAUGCCUGUUUGGUCUUUAAUUUUGUUCCAUUGGUCUACAUGUCUGUUUAUGUGCCAGUGCCAUAUAUGUAUUAUGUAUGUAUGUGUAUUUAUAUAUAUACACAUACCUACAUACACACACAAAGCUUUGUAAUGUAUGUUAAUAUAUGAAAUUAUAAUCUUUCCACCACUGUUCUUUCUGCUUGGGAUCGUUUUGACUAUUUGGGGUCCAUAUGAGUUUUGGGAUAGUUUUUUCUGUUUCUGUGAAAAAUGACAUUAGAAUUGUGAUUGUGAUUCUUUUAAUCUAUAAAUAGGUUUUGAUGGAAUGGUCAUUUUCACAAUGUUAAUUCUACCCAUCCAUGGGCGUGGGAUAGCUUUCUGUUUUUAGUGGCUUUCUAUUUUUUCUUUCUUUCUUCAGAGGUUUAAAGUUUUUAUUGUAGAGUAGAGGGUCCUUCACAUCCUUGGUUAUGUUUAUUCCUAGAUAUUUUUAUUUUCUUUGAGACUAAUAUGAUGGAAAUAUGUCCAUGUUCUCCUCCUCUGUGUGUUUGUUGUUGGGGUAUAGAAAAACCAUUGAUAUGUGCAAGCUGAUUCCGUACCCUGCCACAUUGCUGAAUUUGUUUCUACUGGUGGGAUCUCUAGUGUAUAGUAGCACCAUGUCCUCUGUAAAUAGCCCUGUUUGCAUGCUUCUCUUUUCCUUCUCUUGUCUUCCUGUUGCCACUAGUACUUGAAGCAGAUGGGCAUGUACUCAUGAGAAGGGCCGUGGUAGUGGGCAUCCCUGUCUCCGCCUAGACUUACGUGGGAAGUCUCACUCUUCACGGUUAGGAUGAUACUGGCUCUUAUGGAGAGUUAUGUUCCCUCUAGCCCUGCAUUCUCUUACAUUUGUCAUGAAGGCAUGUUGGAUUUGUCAGAGGCCUUUUCCUGAGUCCUUUGAGAUGAUCAUGUGAUAGGCAGAAUGCAGACUUGGUGUUAGAUUUCCUAACUAUGCAAAUCUCCCUUCCAGAAUGCUGCAAGUGCUGUGCAUACUGCCUUGAGAAUUUUCUGUUCUGUCUUAUUCCAUGCCUUUAGCUUUUAUCCCCAAAACAUUUGAAAAGCAAAUUAUUCAAGUUUUUCGUGUGCUAGAAGCUGAAGAUAGAAUUACAGACCCAUUGUGAAAGCUAGUUGUAAUUCCCAGGGAAGCUAAACUAAUUAAGCCUUUAUAUAGAGUUACCCACUAUAAGGGCUGGGUUUUCUGAUAGGUGUAGGAAAUUGAGUACAGAGUCCUUGCUCUGUACAAUGUUAAACACAAUUAAUACGCAUUUUCAUGGACCCAGUGCUGCACAAUCAAUUAAGAAGGCUAAUAAAUGGAUUUGAGUUAAUAUGAUCAAGGGAGACUUUCCCUUGAUCAAGGGGAUUUAAUAUUUGAGCUGGAUAUAGUGAUGAGAAAGAAGUGUUAUCCAGGAGGAGGAAGAUGUUCCUGAAUGGUCAUCCAGGAGGAGUCUGACAGAGAGGACAGGAGGGAAAUAAGGCUGAGAGGGUCAGUUCACAGAAGGUCAGGUAAGGAAUUCAGGUGAAUUACAAGUUUAAUGGAAACCCACUUGCAGGAGAAUAGAUUGAUGUAAUUUGUGUGGCAUGAAAGUCACUUUUAGAUGGUUUGUGGAUUGUCCAGGGUGGGUAACUGACUGCAUCACCAAGUGAGAUGUGAGAGUGGGUUGAGAUGUGGUGAUGACAGUAGACAUUCAGAGAGGUUCAAGAGAUAGAAUUGGGAUUGGCAUUCACACGAGUAAGUAAAGAGUUGGUUGGAGAUGACAGAGGCAGACACUUGGGGCUUGACUCACUGAAGGGUAUAGUUAGUGAGCUCAGAAAUGGAGUCCAUGCUGUGGAGAUCUGGCCGACUCGGUGCAUCAUUAGUGCAUUCGUUGGCCAUCCAUGUGCAGCUGUGAGUCAGCCCUGAAGAGAUUGUUUGAAACUUGAUGUCGCCCACUACAGUAGGACUCUUGGGUCAAGUCUGCAUCAUCAAAUGGUACACCAUGAACAGGUUUGUUCCAGUAUCAGAGGGGAAUCAGGAUCGAGAGGGUUGUGCUUCUAGAUAGAUCACACCAAAGGGAGGAUGAUGGAGAAGUCCCCAGUGAGAUGAUAGGGAGGCCAGAUGAGUGUGCUGAUGUAAAAACCCAUGAAAAG
rnacentral:lncRNA from 1 species